rnacentral:rRNA from 1 species
AGUGAACGCUGGCGGUAGGCCUAACACAUGCAAGUCGAACGGCAGCACAGUAAGAGCUUGCUCUUACGGGUGGCGAGUGGCGGACGGGUGAGGAAUACAUCGGAAUCUACUUUUUCGUGGGGGAUAACGUAGGGAAACUUACGCUAAUACCGCAUACGACCUACGGGUGAAAUCAGGGGAUCUUCGGACCUUGCGCGAUUGAAUGAGCCGAUGUCGGAUUAGCUAGUUGGCGGGGUAAAGGCCCACCAAGGCGACGAUCCGUAGCUGGUCUGAGAGGAUGAUCAGCCACAGUGGAACUGAGACACGGUCCAGACUCCUACGGGAGGCCGAAGUGGGGAAUAUUGGACAAUGGGCGCAAGCCUGAUCCAGCCAUACCGCGUGGGUGAAGAAGGCCUUCGGGUUGUAAAGCCCUUUUGUUGGGAAAGAAAAGCAGCAGGUUAAUACCCCGCUGUUCUGACGGUACCCAAAGAAUAAGCACCGGCUAACUUCGUG